rnacentral:misc_RNA from 1 species
AAGUCGUAACAAGGUAACCGUAGGUGAACCUGCGGUUGGAUCAUUAGCGAGUGGUUUUCGUCGCGAGACGAGCUGCCCGACCUGUUGUCAUUCGCACUGGGGCGUGGGGGUCGGAGGCUUGGGAUUCGGGUUACCCGGAGGGGACGGAGGUUCCUGAAGGGGGCUCGGGCCCGGGCCGACCCGCCCGCGGCUCCGGCAUCAUAUACUUCGGCGGAAGAGGUAGGCGUUGACCUGCCCGCCGCCGGCCGUAACGUUUUACACUCUUGAGGAAGCUGAAGUCUGAACUUUUGGAUGAAAAAAAAAGCAAAACUUUCAACAACGGAUCUCUUGGCUCUG